rnacentral:rRNA from 1 species
GACGAACGCUGGCGGCGUGCUUAACACAUGCAAGUCGAACGGAAAGGCCCUGCUUUUGUGGGGUGCUCGAGUGGCGAACGGGUGAGUAACACGUGAGUAACCUGCCCUUGACUUUGGGAUAACUUCAGGAAACUGGGGCUAAUACCGGAUAGGAGCUCCUGCUGCAUGGUGGGGGUUGGAAAGUUUCGGCGGUUGGGGAUGGACUCGCGGCUUCUCAGCUUGUUUGUGGGGUAGUGGCUUACCAAGGCUUUGACGGGUAGCCGGCCUGAGAGGGUGACCGGGGAAAAUGGGAAUGAGAUAGGGCGCAGACGGGAACGGGAGGCAGGAGUGGGGAAUAGUGCACAAUGGGCGGAAGCGUGAUGAAGCAAGGCCGCGUGCGGGAUGACGGCCUUCGGGUUGUAAAACGAUUUAGAAUGUGAAGAAGAGUGAGUGACGGUAAUGGGUAAAGAAGCAACGGCUAACUACGUG